UCAUGCCAAUGGCACUGCCCGGUAGCUAAAUGCGGAAGAGAUAAGUGCUGAAAGCAUCUAAGCACGAAACUUGCCCCGAGAUGAGUUCUCCCUGACUCCUUGAGAGUCCUGAAGGAACGUUGAAGACGACGACGUUGAUAGGCCGGGUGUGUAAGCGCAGCGAUGCGUUGAGCUAACCGGUACUAAUGAACCGUGAGGCUU
rnacentral:rRNA from 1 species